rnacentral:rRNA from 1 species
CCUACGGGAGGCAGCAGUGGGGAAUAUUGGGCAAUGGGCGCAAGCCUGACCCAGCAACGCCGCGUGAAGGAAGAAGGCUUUCGGGUUGUAAACUUCUUUUCUCAGGGACGAAGCAAGUGACGGUACCUGAGGAAUAAGCCACGGCUAACUACGUGCCACCAGCCGCCGUAAUACGUAGGUGGCAAGCGUUAUCCGGAUUUACUGGGUGUAAAGGGCGGGUAGGCGGGACUGCAAGUCAGAUGUGAAAACCAUGGGCUCAACCCAUGGCCUGCAUUUGAAACUGUUGUUCUUGAGUACUGGAGAGGCAGGCGGAAUUCCUAGUGUAGCGGUGAAAUGCGUAGAUAUUAGGAGGAACACCAGGGGCGAAGGCAGGCUGCUGGAC